CUCGUAGGCGGUUCGUCGCGUCCGGUGUGAAAGUCCAUCGCUUAACGGUGGAUCCGCGCCGGGUACGGGCGGGCUUGAGUGCGGUAGGGGAAACUGGAAUUCCCGGUGUAACGGUGGAAUGUGUAGAUAUCGGGAAGAACACCAAUGGCGAAGGCAGGUCUCUGGGCCGUUACUGACGCUGAGGAGCGAAAGCGUGGGGAGCGAACA
rnacentral:rRNA from 1 species